rnacentral:rRNA from 1 species
UGGGGAAUAUUGCGCAAUGGUCGAAAGACUGACGCAGCGACGCCGCGUGGAGGAUGAAGCCCUUCGGGGUGUAAACUCCUGUUGCUCGGGACGAAUGCCCCUUUCGAGGGGAUUGACGGUACCGGGUGAGUAAGCACCGGCUAACUCUGUGCCAGCAGCCGCGGUAAUACAGAGGGUGCAAGCGUUGUCCGGAAUCACUGGGCGUAAAGGGCGCGUAGGUGGCUUGGUAAGCGUGCGGUGAAAGCUCGAGGCUCAACCUCGAGUCUGCCGUGCGAACUGCCGAGCUGGAGCACGGUAGAGGCACAUGGAAUUCCGGGUGUAGCGGUGGAAUGCGUAGAGAUCCGGAAGAACACCGGUGGCGAAGGCGGUGUGCUGGGCCGUAGCUGACACUGAGGCGCGACAGCGUGGGGAGCAAA